GUGGGGAAUAUUGGACAAUGGGCGAAAGCCUGAUCCAGCCAUGCCGCGUGUGUGAAGAAGGUCUUCGGAUUGUAAAGCACUUUAAGUUGGGAGGAAGGGCAGUAAGUUAAUACCUUGCUGUUUUGACGUUACCGACAGAAUAAGCACCGGCUAACUUCGUGCCAGCAGCCGCGGUAAUACGAAGGGUGCAAGCGUUAAUCGGAAUUACUGGGCGUAAAGCGCGCGUAGGUGGUUUUGUAAGUGGGAGGUGAAAUCCCCGGGCUCAACAUGGGAAAUGCCUCAAAAACUGGAUGACUAGAGUACGGUAGAGGGUAGUGGAAUUUCCUGUGUAGCGGUGAAAUGCGUAGAUAUAGGAAGGAACACCAGUGGCGAAGGCGACUACCUGGACUGAUACUGACACUGAGGUGCGAAAGCGUGGGGAGCAAACAGGAUUAGAAACCCUAGUAGUCC
rnacentral:rRNA from 1 species